CAAGCGGUGGAGCAUGUGGUUUAAUUCGAUGCAACGCGAAGAACCUUACCUACUCUUGACAUCCAGCGAACUUAGCAGAGAUGCUUUGGUGCCUUCGGGAACGCUGAGACAGGUGCUGCAUGGCUGUCGUCAGCUCGUGUUGUGAAAUGUUGGGUUAAGCCCCGCAACGAGCGCAACCCUUAUCCUUUGUUGCCAGCGAUACGGUCGGGGACUCAAAGGAGACUGCCGGUGAUAAACCGGAGGAAGGUGGGGAUGACGUCAAGUCAUCAUGGCCCUUACGAGUAGGGCUACACACGUGCUACAAUGGCGCAUACAAAGAGAAGCGACCUCGCGAGAGCAAGCGGACCUCAGAAAGUGCGUCGUAGUCCGGAUCGGAGUCUGCAACUCGACUCCGUGAAGUCGGAAUCGCUAGUAAUCGUGGAUCAGAAUGCCACGGUGAAUACGUUCCCGGGCCUUGUACACACC
rnacentral:rRNA from 1 species